UACGUAGGGGGCAAGCGUUGUCCGGAAUCAUUGGGCGUAAAGCGCGUGUAGGCGGCUGAGUAAGUCUGCUCUGAAAGCCCGGGGCUCAACCCCGGGCUUGCAGUGGAUACGGGCAGACUAGAGUUCGGUAGGGGAGACUGGAAUUCCUGGUGUAGCGGUGAAAUGCGCAGAUAUCAGGAGGAACACCGGUGGCGAAGGCGGGUCUCUGGGCCGAUACUGACGCUGAGGAGCGAAAGCGUGGGGAGCGAACAGG
rnacentral:rRNA from 1 species